AUGGCAGACGCGGCAGCGUUCAGUCCCUCGCCGCCGGCACCUUCUCCGCUCGCCGCCGCCGACGUCGCAGCCGACGCGCUCCUCGCGCCUUGGCCGCUGUCCCCGUGGCCGGCGCCCCUCCGGCCCGGCGGCGACGACGGCCGGUCGAACCCUCUCUUCGCGAUACUGCCGCUUUCGGCGCUGGCGAUAGGGCUGGUGCUGCUCGUGGCCGUGGCGCUCAUCCUGGUGCUGACCCGCCGGGCGAAGCUCAGGCUGGUGGGUGCCGGCGACAGCGUGGACGGCGACAAGCCCGGCGCGCCGGCGUCCAGCUGCGGCAGCAGCGUCCGCGGCUACCAGAAUGGCAGGUGCUACGCCGCCACAGGGUGCAUAUACGGCGGGCGGCUGGGCCCGCUGGGGCUGGCGGUGGUGCAGCCGCGGAGCCGGGGCGCGCAGGUGUUCACGUACCGGGAGCUGGAGCGCGCCACGGACGGGUUCGGCGAGGGCAACGUGCUGGGGCGGGGCGCGUACGGCGUCGUCUUCCGCGGCCGGCUCGGCGACGGCACCCCGGCCGCCAUCAAGCGCCUGCAGCUCGACCCCCGGCGCCAGGGCGAGCGCGAGUUCCGCGUCGAGGUGGACCUGCUGAGCCGGAUGCACUCGCCGCACCUGGUGGGCCUGCUGGGGUACUGCGCGGACCAGAGCCACCGGCUGCUGGUGUUCGAGUUCAUGCCCAACGGCAGCCUCAAGGGCCACCUGCACCCCGUCAUCCCCGCCGUCGACGUGGCCGCUGGGGAGCAGCGGGACGCGAGGCCGACGCUGGACUGGCAGACGCGGCUGGGCAUCGCGCUGGACUGCGCCCGCGCGCUGGAGUUCCUCCACGAGCACACCUCCCCCGCCGUCAUCCACCGCGACUUCAACUGCAGCAACGUCCUCCUCGACCACAACUACCGCGCCCGCGUCUCUGACUUUGGCACCGCCAAGGUCGGCUCCAACAAGGCCAACGGCCAGGUCGUCACCCGCGUCCUCGGCACCACCGGCUACCUCGCGCCAGAGUACGCGUCGACGGGGAAGCUGACGACCAAGUCGGACGUGUACAGCUACGGGGUGGUGCUCCUGGAGCUGCUGACGGGCCGGGUGCCGGUGGACACGCAGCGGCCGCCGGGACAGCACGUCCUGGUUUCAUGGGCUCUUCCACGGCUGACGAACCGCGAGAGGCUCGUGCAGAUGGUGGACCCGGCCCUGAAGGGCCAGUUCGCCGUCAAGGAUCUCAUCCAGGUGGCGGCGAUCGCGGCGAUGUGCAUACAGACCAAGGCGGAGUACCGGCCGCUGAUGACGGACGUGGUGCAGUCGCUCAUCCCCAUCGUGAAGAAGAGCCCCUCCAUGUCCUGCUCCUCCACGCCGGCGAGGCCCCUGCAGCACGUCGUCUACAUGAGCCCAGCCGCCGGCAGCAACACGUCCUAG
rnacentral:rRNA from 1 species